rnacentral:rRNA from 1 species
UACGUAGGAUGCAAGCGUUAUCCGGAAUUAUUGGGCGUAAAGCGUCCGCAGGCGGCUGUUCAAGUCUGCUGUCAAAGCGCAGAGCUUAACUCUGUACAGGCGGUGGAAACUGAAGAGCUUGAGUAUGGUAGGGGUAGAGGGAAUUCCCGGUGUAGCGGUGAAAUGCGUAGAUAUCGGGAAGAACAUCGGUGGCGAAGGCGCUCUACCGGACCACAACUGACACUCAGGGACGAAAGCUAGGGGAGCGAAUGGG